rnacentral:tRNA from 1 species
UGUUUUGUAGCUUAGUUGGUUAAGUUAAUUUGGACUAGCGAUAACGGAGUCGUGGGUUCGAAUCCCACCAAAACAA